UUAUGCUGUUACCACAGUGGUGGUUAACAUUGCUGUUUUUCUUUUCUGUAUUGUACGUUAGAUAAUGAAGUUGACGGAGAAGCAGUGGACUAUGGAUUGACUGAGAGGAUGGUUUCAUACCUCUUUGAAGGAUCGUUUAAGAAGCAAGCCAAAUUCAACCGAUUUGUACAGCAGUGGAAAGAAACCGUGACACUAACCGUUGAGCCUGUCCCGGUACAUUCAGAGAAGGCUACAGUGGAAUCAAGAAUGAAUAUCUGCCGAAGAUUUUAAGAUGGCUUUAAGAUCCUAGUACCCACAGUGCUUAGACUGACUCAAAGGAAAUCUCCCCUUGCAGAUCUGGCUUUGGAGGAAAGAGAGGCUGCCCUCACCGAAGAUGUCCCUGGGAUUGAUUUCAGAGCUGCAAUCCUGCUGUUGCCGAUCCUGUUCAGGGAGAAAAAUGACAUUCUCAUCAUACUUGGAGAGGUGUGUAAUUUGCGUAUUAUUAUUAUUAUUUUUUGUUUAC